GGUCCCUGGGGAGGAGAAGGUGCUGGGCACGGGUCUUGGAAGAGGGGGCACUGGGAAUUUGUCCUGGGGUGAAACCGGAGAUGUCACUGGGGAUCAGUUCUGGAGGAGGGCAAAGAGGUGCUGUCAGCAAGAAGCUCAUUUGCACAAUUAUAAGCCAGAAGGAUAAAGCCUCUGUGCACGUGGGGGGAAGGAAGCGCCCCACGGGCUCCAGUCGAGACAAGCACAGCGAAGAGGAGGGGGAGCUUUCAGCCUCUGUG